UCCCUCAGACCCUCCCAAACCCCAAAUGUGUGAGGAGCUGGAGGGGCUGUGGGUACAGGAGAGGUUUUGGGGUCCCCUGUGACCCUCAAAUGUGCCAUUGCCAGCAUCUGGAACUGCAGUGGGUUCAGAAGGGAUUUGGGGACCCCCUGACCCCCCAAAUAUUCCCAUUCCGAGGUGCCGGAGCUGCAGCGGGCCCUGCAGCGGGCGCUGUGGCUCCAGGAAGAGUUUUGAGGUUUGGGAUGUGUUUUGGGGUCCCCCUGACCCCCCAAAUAUUCCCAUCCCCAGGAGCCAGAGCUGCAGUGGGCCCUGGAGCGGACCCUGCAGGUCUGGGAGGGAUUUUGGGGUUUGGGGUGCCCCUGACCCCCAAUGUUCUGUUCCCAUCCCCAGGAGCUGGAGCUGCAGUGGGCCCUGGAGCAUUCAGUGAGGGUCAGGGAGGGAUUUUGGGGUUUGGGAUGUGUUUUGGGGUCCCCCUGACCCCCAAUGUUCUAUCCCCAGGAGCCAGAGCUGCAGCGGGCCCUGGAGUGAGCCCUGUGCGUGCUGUGGGUUUGGGAUGUGUUUUGGGGUUCCCCUAACCCCACAAUGUUCCAUUCCCAGGAGCCGGAGCUGCAGCAGGCCCUGGAGCAGGCCCUAUUGUUGUGGGAAGGGUUUUGGGGUGUCAGAAGGGUUUUGGGGUUUCCCUGACCCCCAAAUGUUCCAUCCCCAGGAGCCAGAGCUGCAGCGGGCCCGGGUGUUAUGGGAAGGGUAUUGGGGUUCCCCUGAGCCCCCAAAACGUGGUGUUUCCAGCAGCCAGUGCUGCAGUGUGUGCUGUGGGUGUGGGAAGGGUUUUGGGGUAUAGGAUGUGUUUUGGGGUCCCCCUAACCCCCCAGUGUUCCCAUUGCCAGGGGCCUGAGCUGCAGUGGGCUGUGGAGCAGGCCCUGGUGUUAUGGGAAGGGUUUUGGGGUGCCUCUGACCCCCAAAUUUUCCCAUCGCCAGGAGCUGGAGCUGCAGUGGGCUUUGUGUGUUUGGUAGGGAUUUUGGGGUGCCCCUGACCCCUCAAAUGUUUCCUUCACCAGGAGCCUUCACUGAGGGUGCCGUGGGUUUGGGAUGUGUUUGGGGGAUAUGUUUUGGGGUCCCCCUAACCCCAAAUGUUCUAUCCCCAGGAGCCGGAGCUGCAGCGGGCCCUGGAGCAUUCACUGAGGGUGCUGUGGGUUUGGGAUGUGUUUUGGGGUUCCCCUAACCCCAAAUUUUCCCAUCCCCAGGAGCUGGAGCUGCAGCGGGCCCUGGAGCAGGCCCUGUGGGUCAGGGAGGGAUUUUGGGGUCAGGGAUGUGUUUUGGGGUCCCCCUAACCACAAAUAUUCCCGUUCUCAGGGCCCAGAGCUGCAGAAGGCUCUGU
rnacentral:lncRNA from 1 species